AUGGUUGAUGCUGUGCUGGUUAGAUUAGUAGGUUUUGGGGUUUGAUAACAGAUGGAUGGUGAUGUGCUGGUUAGAUUAGUAGGUUCUGGGGUUUGAUAACAGAUGGAUGAUGCUGUGCUGGUUAGAUUAGUAGGUUUUGGGGUUUGAUAACAGAUGGAUGGUGAUGUGCUGGUUAGAUUAGUAGGUUCUGUGGUUUGAUAACAGAUGGAUGGUGAUGUGCUGGUUAGAUUAGUAGGUUCUGGGGUUUGAUAACAGAU